UGGGAUCUUGUAAGAAGUGCCUUACUCUG
rnacentral:piRNA from 1 species